rnacentral:rRNA from 1 species
AGAGUUUGAUCAUGGCUCAGGAUGAACGCUAGCUACAGGCUUAACACAUGCAAGUCGAGGGGCAGCAUGUUGGUUGCUUGCAACCAAUGAUGGCGACCGGCGCACGGGUGAGUAACGCGUAUCCAACCUACCCUUGUCCAUCGGAUAACCCGUCGAAAGGCGGCCUAACACGAUAUGCGGUUCACAGCAGGCAUCUAAGGUGAACGAAAUGUGAAGGAGAAGGAUGGGGAUGCGUCUGAUUAGCUUGUUGGCGGGGUAACGCCACAAGGCGACGAUCAGUAGGGUUCUGAGAGGAAGGUCCCCCANAUUGGAAACUGAGACACGGUCCAAAACUCCUACGGGAGGCA